rnacentral:rRNA from 1 species
GACGAACGCUGGCGGCGUGCUUAACACAUGCAAGUCGAACGAAGUGGCGAACGGGUGAGUAACGCGUAAUCAACCUGCCCUUCAGAGGGGGACAACAGUUGGAAACGACUGCUAAUACCGCAUACGGAAGGAGGGGAUUGCGUCGGAUUAGCUCGUUGGAGGGGUAACGGCCCACCAGGGCGAUGAUCAGUAGCCGGGCUGGGAGGAUGAACGGCCAAAUCGGGACUGAGACAAUGCCCAGACUCCUACGGGAGGCAGCAGUGGGGAAUCUGCCGCAAUGGACGAAAGUCUGACGGAGCAACGCCGCGUGAGUGAUGACGGCCGUCGGGUUGUAAAGCUCUGUUAAUCGGGACGCGGUACCGGAAUAGAAAGCCACGGCUAACUACGUGCCAGCAGCCGCGGUAAUUC